CCCUAUCCUUCCAAGCUAACGAUGCGGGUUCGAUUCCCGCUACCCGCU
rnacentral:tRNA from 1 species